ACUAUCAUCCGAUCACAUUGCUGCUACGUCACUCCGCGCCGCAAGAAGCAAGUUCGCGCCUCUUUUUCCAUCGGUGGAUGACUUGGAUGCACACGUCAGCUUCAAGUGGAGGACACUCCAAAAACACUAGUGGCUGUACUACUUGAUGAAAAGGAGAUAUGCAAAAAACUGCAGCAUCUCAAGCAGAAAUAAUAAAUAAUUGAUGCUUCCAAAUGUCUCCUCCCCUGUGCUGCAGAGUACCACCAAAUUUUAACGCUGAUUUGUGAUUUGAAUGAAUUUAUUGACACCGACCUAACUGAGAAAGUGGAAGCCUUGGACAAGUUUCAAGUUUUGUUUAAGUCGAUUAAGAGAAGUGGAUCACAUGCAUUGGAUGAACAAUUGGAUGUAGAUGCAGCCAGUCCAAGUCAUCAACAGAGUGUAUGUUCAUUGAGUACUUGCGUAUACUGAUACAAGUAAUAUACUUGAAC